CAAGACCACGAUGGAGUCAGUCAUGUCAUGGGUCGUUCAACAUAAGCUUCAUACCGUCGGAUGUUUAUGGCUGAGUGGGAUCACUGGAUCAAUCGCCUACAAUUGGUCUCGCCCUCAAAUGAAAACUAGGGUUAGGCUUAUUCACGCUAGGUGACUAGCAAGAAGGCAACAUUAAUCGAGUAUCACAAUGAGUUGAGAGAAAAACUUGGUCCAACUUCUACAAUUUCCCGAGAAAAUGGGGAAGUUCUUGGAGAUCGUUACAAACUGCUUCCUGUUGAUUUGAGGGACAUUCCAAGGUUAAAUAAUGUGAUAGGUUUAGCAAACCUUGAUCCUAGGUAUGCAUUUAAUUUUCUGUUUUGUUUAGGUUUUAAUAAUUAAUUCUUCUUAGUAAGUGGUUGUAAAAGAUGGUGAAGCACUGUGUUACCUUUCGGUUUGACAUGGUUGUAUUUGGGACAUCAUUAAGUGACAACAAAGGAAUACAAACACCAGUUAUUAGAAUAGCUUGUAAAGCUUUACAAUAGUUCAGGAAAAAAUAAAAAAUAAAAAAUAAAAGAAUUACAGUAAUUGAGCUCCAGUGCAUGCAAUGCAUUGUUUGUUUAAUUUUCAGUAAUUGAGCUUAAGAAACUGAAUUAAAGAGUAGUUGACAGAUACAUCAACGCGUUGGUACUGAAUUAAAGAGUAGUUGACAGGCUUGAGUUUGUAAUCUUAAACUGUUCUACUCCCUUUUUUCUUGGUUAAGAGACACAAUUGAGAUGUUAGCUUGUUGAUAUGUGCUGUAUUGGAUAUGCUGUUAUUCAAAAACUGAAAGUAUAUGGUCUUUCAUUUCAGCAACCUAAUAGAUUUUCGCAAAACAUAACAUCUAUUUUGCACAUUUCAGUAGUCGCAGUCUUAACUAAUUACUAUGUUCUAAUUUUCCAUUAUACAUUAGUGGAAUGCAAAGUUUCAAACCAAAGAACAGUAUGAUGCACAAUAUUUCAAAGCUAUAAUAAGGUUGUAUCUUAAUAAUGAAAACUGGUAUCUUGGAGCCUAAUUGAACAAAAAUCAAGAAGAUAUGUUCCCUAUACAGAUAUAAUCAACAAUUAAACUUUCAUAGUAAGCUGAGAACCUUACUAUGGAGUAGUUACUACCACCUACAGAGUAUAAAACAAGCCAUAUGUAUUAAUGUAUAUAACACUAACAAUGUUAUCUAGACAAUAUAACAAAUGCAUUGGAUCAAGUUGGUCUGGAAUCGGUUUACUAUGCCCAAGCAUAGAUUCAUAGUUUGGCUUGUUAUGCUUGGGAGGCUACAGACUAGGCAACAAUUAUUUAAAUUGCACAUUAGUGAAACUGAUAGUUGUGGAAUUUGUGGGUAGGAUAGUGAAUCUCACAAACAUCUGCUUUUUGAAUAUCCAUACAGCAAGGAUUAUUCAUUUGGUUCUCUUUAAUUUUGGGGUCAUUUGAUUUUAAGAAUUGAAAGUAUUACAGGAUAAAUCGGUGAUCACAUGCAUAUUGAACAAUGCUGUUACUGAGCGUAUCAUAGUUUAGGAAACUGUAUUAGUGGUGUAGAUGGAGCUGUCCUUUAAUUAUGCAUGUAUCUGAUGUAUCUGUUCAGUUUCAAGAGUCUUCAAAUGACUGAUAUAUGCCACGCAAGUUAUUAACCGUGUUUCAAGAGUCUACAACUAAUAAUACUUGGAACAAUUGUUCUCAUGUUUAGGAGUUAUCGGACUUGGCAAGCCAAUAACAAAGGAUCUCGAAAGUCUCUAAGAUGGAAAGAAAUUAUAGUAAGAUUUAAUUAGUUUGAUGAUUAUUUUUAUCGUAAUUUAUUCAUAUAUAUGUUAUUCUUUAAUUUAAUGUGUAUUAUAUUUGUAUCUUAGUGUUCUCGUGAACCGAAAAUGCUUGAAUGUGGCUAUUACGUCAUGAAGUACAUGUAUCAAAUAGUUUUACUUCGAUUACAAAGUAUUAGUAAUGUGGAAGAGGUACAUGUACAUGUAUUUUUGUUAUUAUUUUAUCUCAGCGGUUACUAUACAUGCGCUAGCUUUUAUCCAAACUUUACUAAUUAAUACAUUAUUUUGUUGAAGUACAGAUAUUUUCUCCAAACCCGUACACUCAAGAGGAGAUCGACGAUGUUCGAGAAAAAUGGAGUAGAUAUUUUAUUAGUAGUUGUUUGUAAUCAUUUUCUAGUUUUCAGAGAUAGAAAUUAAACUAUAACAAAUUGUAGGAUAUUUUUUGGAAUACAAUUAUUUACACUUGUUGAACCAACUUUCUUGUUUGAAUUAAUACAAAAAUAUUUUCGCAAA